rnacentral:lncRNA from 1 species
CACGGGAGGCGGGGUUCUACGCCCCGCCCACAGGCGAAGCUGGAGUCGGGCCGCCCCUCACGGCUCCGCAGCUGGGUGGGCUCCGAGCCCGGGCCGGGCACAUCUGGAGGAUCCCAGCUGAAACAAGGGGCGCCUUCCGCAUCCCGACCAUAUCUGGAAGGCCCCCGACUCCAGCCAGGCGAUUCCAGCCGCGUCUGGGCCUAUCCCGCACUCGCUGCCUCACAUCUGGGUGCUUGCAAAUCCUGCCCCGUAUUCCUGCUCUGAACCUUUGUCGCCGACCACAAGAAGGUCCCUGAGUUUUACGUGGGCCACAAUGAAAUUAUGACCAUCCUGGGUUUCUGCGCCUCAGCACUCCCAAGAAAUUGUGAAUGACGGAGCCAUGGGGGUGUCAAAAGCCAGCGAGGUGAAGAGCAGCAGCAGGUGGGUACCAUGGGGCAUGGCAGGGAAUUUUGGAGGGGCUCCUGCUUUGUUAUCCCACUGGUUUUCCUAGGAGUUUCAUGCUCAAGCAGAGAAAUUGCUCCAGAAUUCCUUUUGGGAAGCAUUUUUUGGUGCUGCUGGGCAUAAGGAUUAGGAAGUAUGGCAUCAUGCCAUGGUUUGUGGUUACCACCAAGGGGUUGGUUUCAGUGGGAUCAAUUCUUCCUUAUCCCAGGAAGCGAAAGAAUGAGUUGGAAAACGAGCAGGACAAGCCAAAGGAGCUGGAAUGCACAGAGAAGCCUUCCACGGUAAAAGGGAAGAAGAAAGAAAAAUCAAAAGCCAAGGAAAAGCCACUGCAGGAGAACAUCAUCAGCAGCUCCCUGGAGCAGGAGGCUGUGGAUGGGAUCAGCCUUGGCUCGAGCCUCUGGAAUGGGAUCCAAGCUGAGGAGGGAGCUGCACCUGGGUCGGAGGAGACCAAAGCAACCUCCCCUCAAGGGCCAGCAGUGGGGCUGGAAGGCCCUUCCAGGUGAGUUGGGUAAUUUUUUUGAUUAUUUUUCUUCCAGGGAACUGGAAUUUUGUCCUUUUUUUUCCCUUCUCCCUGUGGAGCUGCACAAUCCUGGUUUUCCCUCCUGGAUCGCUGGUGCCUUCCUGGAGCAUCUUCUCCACAUCCUGGUGUUUUCAGUGACUUUAAAGCUUUC